AGCAGCCGCGGUAAUUCCAGCUCCAAUAGCGUAUAUUAAAGUUGCUGCAGUUAAAAAGCUCGUAGUUGAAUUUCGGGACUAAUAUGUCGGUCGUGCCUCGGUACGUACUGGUUUAUUGGUUUCUCCUUUCUGAAGAACCAUGAUGUCAUUUAUUUGGUGUCGUGGGGAAUCAGGACUGUUACUUUGAAAAAUUAGAGUGUUUAAAGCAGGCUCACGCUUGAAUACAUUAGCAUGGAAUAAUGAAAUAGGACGUUUGAUUCUAUUUUGUUGGUUUCUAGGAUCGACGUAAUGAUUAAUAGGGAUAGUUGGGGGCAUUAGUAUUCAAUUGUCAGAGGUGAAAUUCUUGGAUUUAUUGAAGACUAACUACUGCGAAAGCAUUUGCCAAGGAUGUUUUCAUUAAUCAAGAACGAAAGUUAGGGGAUCGAAGACGAUCAGAUACCGUCGUAGUCUUAACCAUAAACUAUACCGACUAGGGAUCGGAUGAUGUUAAUUUUUAAUGACUCAUUCGGCGCCUUACGGA
rnacentral:rRNA from 1 species